GACGAACGCUGGCGGCGUGCUUAACACAUGCAAGUCGAACGAAGUGGCGCACGGGUGAGUAACGCGUAAUCAACCUGCCCUUCAGAGGGGGACAACCGUUGGAAACGACUGCUAAUACAGCAUAAUGAAGCAGGGGAUUGGGUCUGACUAGCGAGUUGGAGGGGUAACGGCCCACCAAGGCGAUGAUAAGUAGCCGGUCUGAGAGGAUGAACGGCCACAUUGGGACUGAGACACGGCCCAGACUCCUACGGGAGGCAGCAGUGGGGAAUCUUCCGCAAUGGACGAAAGUCUGACGGAGCAACGCCGCGUGAGUGAUGACGGCCUUCGGGUUGUAAAGCUCUGUUAAUCGGGACGCGGUACCGGAAUAGAAAGCCACGGCUAACUACGUGCCAGCAGCCGCGGUAAUAC
rnacentral:rRNA from 1 species